rnacentral:hammerhead_ribozyme from 1 species
AGCCGAAACGCCCGUUUGGGCGUCUGCCGGAACCGCCCCACCGGCACUGAAGAUGGCAGGGCAAC